rnacentral:rRNA from 1 species
AACGAACGCUGGCGGCAUGCCUAACACAUGCAAGUCGAACGAGACCUUCGGGUCUAGUGGCGCACGGGUGCGUAACGCGUGGGAACCUGCCCUUAGGUUCGGAAUAACUCCCCGAAAGGGGUGCUAAUACCGGAUAAUGUCUUCGGACCAAAGAUUUAUCGCCUUUGGAUGGGCCCGCGUUGGAUUAGCUAGUUGGUAGGGUAAAAGCCUACCAAGGCGACGAUCCAUAGCUGGUCUGAGAGGAUGAUCAGCCACACUGGGACUGAGACACGGCCCAGACUCCCACGGGAGGCAGCAGGUGGGAAUAUUGGACAAUGGGCGAAAGCCUGAUCCAGCAAUGCCGCGUGAGUGAUGAAGGCCUUAGGGUUGUAAAGCUCUUUUACCCGGGAUGAUAAUGACAGUACCGGGAGAAUAAGCUCCGGCUAACUCCGUG